GAACUGAUUGCUGGGCUCGUGGAUCUCCAUUUAAGGCCAAAGGGCAGCAGGUGAGGAGGCCUUUAGAGUCUCCUUCUCACUUGGCCGAGCCCAGACCUGCGUCUUCGCUUUCAGCUCUGCUGUCCCAUGAGUUUUCUCAUCACCUCAGUGAGACGAAAGGGCUGAGCCUGCCAGAGUCAAGAGUGUUCCCAAGACUCCACGAAGAUGGCGUGAUGGGAGGCCUGGGACCCCAAAGGCCAUGUUCCUGUCCGGAAGUACAGGCAGCACAUCCACCCUGGACUCCAGAUUCACCCCGCGUCUCCGCCAUCUCCCUCUGUCAUGUCUUGAACCCAGGAAAACAAUGUGCAGUGAUCAUUUUCCACAAUAUAGGCCCGGUCAUGUCAGAAUCAGGGUCUCUAAUUUAGGCGUCCUGGAAUAGGAGCUGUUUUUUGGGCCUAAAGAGGGAACAGCUAAUGAGUGUAAAACAUUUUCAGGUGAAAUUAAUAUUCAAUGAUUAGAUUACUGGAAUAGGAGCUGUUUUUAGGCCUAAAGAGGGAACAACUAAUGACUGCAAAACAUUUUCAGGUGAAAUUAAUAUUCAAUGAUUAGAUUACUGGAAUAGGAGCUGUUUUAGGCCUAAAGAGGGAACAGCUAAUGACUGCGAAACAUUUUCAGGUGAAAUUAAUAUUCAAUGAUUCUAUUACUC